rnacentral:rRNA from 1 species
UGCGUAGGCGGUUUGGUAAGUCUGAUGUGAAAUCUAUGGGCUCAACUCAUAGUCUGCAUCGGAAACUGCCGGGCUUGAGUGUGGGAGAGGUGAGUGGAAUUCCUGGUGUAGCGGUGAAAUGCGUAGAUAUCAGGAGGAACACCUGUGGCGAAAGCGGCUCACUGGACCACAACUGACGCUGAUGCGCGAAAGCUAGGGGAGCAAACA